rnacentral:rRNA from 1 species
AUUGAACGCUGGCGGCAUGCCUUACACAUGCAAGUCGAACGGUAACGCGGGGCAACCUGGCGACGAGUGGCGAACGGGUGAGUAACGCAUCGGAACGUGCCCAGUAGUGGGGGAUAGCCCGGCGAAAGCCGGAUUAAUACCGCAUACGACCUAAGGGUGAAAGCGGGGGAUCGCAAGACCUCGCGCUAUUGGAGCGGCCGAUGUCAGAUUAGGUAGUUGGUGAGGUAAAGGCUCACCAAGCCUUCGAUCUGUAGCUGGUCUGAGAGGACGACCAGCCACACUGGGACUGAGACACGGCCCAGACUCCUACGGGAGGCAGCAGUGGGGAAUUUUGGACAAUGGGCGCAAGCCUGAUCCAGCCAUGCCGCGUGCGGGAAGAAGGCCUUCGGGUUGUAAACCGCUUUUGUCAGGGAAGAAACGCUCUGGGCUAAUACCCCGGGGUAAUGACGGUACCUGAAGAAUAAGCACCGGCUAACUACGUGCCAGCAGCCGCGGUAAUACGUAGGGUGCAAGCGUUAAUCGGAAUUACUGGGCGUAAAGCGUGCGCAGGCGGUUAUGCAAGACAGAUGUGAAAUCCCCGGGCUUAACCUGGGAACUGCAUUUGUGACUGCAUGGCUAGAGUGCGGCAGAGGGGGAUGGAAUUCCGCGUGUAGCAGUGAAAUGCGUAGAUAUGCGGAGGAACACCGAUGGCGAAGGCAAUCCCCUGGGCCUGCACUGACGCUCAUGCA